GCAAAUUGUUUAUUCAGGCUGCCUCUCGCUGAUCUUGUCUGAUCUCAAAUUAAGUAGAACAGAGCUUGGUUAGUACUAGGAUGGGAGACCACCAGGGAAUACCAGCUGCUGUAGGCU
rnacentral:rRNA from 1 species